AGCACUUUAAGUUGGGAGGAAGGGCAGUUACCUAAUACGUGAUUGUUUUGACGUUACCCGCAGAAGAAGCACCGGCUAACUCCGUGCCAGCAGCCGCGGUAAUACGGAGGGUGCAAGCGUUAAUCGGAAUUACUGGGCGUAAAGCGCACGCAGGCGGUUUGUUAAGUCAGAUGUGAAAUCCCCGGGCUCAACCUGGGAACUGCAUUCAAAACUGACUGACUAGAGUAUGGUA
rnacentral:rRNA from 1 species